rnacentral:rRNA from 1 species
CGGAGGAACCCUAGCCUCCAUCCGACUUAUAUACCCCCUCCUCCUCCCCGCAAUCCAUCUCUUCUCCUCCUCCCCGCCGCCGCCGCCGUCUCCUCCUACUCUUCGCCGCUCCCGCUCCCGCCGCCGCGCCACCGCCGUCAGCCAUGGCACCCAAGAAGGAGAAGGCCCCGGCGGCGUCGUCCAAGCCGGCCAAGUCCGGCGGCGGCAAGCAGAAGAAGAAGAAGUGGAGCAAGGGCAAGCAAAAGGAGAAGGUGAACAACGCGGUGCUGUUCGACCAGGCCACCUACGACAAGCUGCUCACCGAGGUGCCCAAGUACAAGCAGAUCACGCCCUCCGUCCUCUCCGAGCGCCUCAGGAUCAAUGGGUCUCUGGCUCGCAGGGCUAUCAAGGACCUGAUGGAGAGGGGACUCAUCAGGAUGGUGUCAAUCCACUCAAGCCAGCAGAUCUUCACCAGGGCGACAAACACCUGAUUUAUCAUUAUCAUGUGUUCCAUGUCUGUUUUUAGUCCAGUAGACUGAGGUGUUGCUGUUAUAUUCAAGUUCACUAUGUCCAGGGGGGCACACUGUGCCACCAGUAAUGUUGAAUUGCUUUUGAGUUUUGGUACACUUUGAGAUCGUUUUGUCAGCGCAAUGAAAUCUACCUUAUAUAUUGCCCUAUUUGCUGCUGUCCAUGCUCUACGGUUGUUCCUGGG